UCGAGAAUCAUUCACAAUGGGGGAGACCCUGAUGGUGCGACGCCGCGUGGGGGAAUGAAGGUCUUCGGAUUGUAAACCCCUGUCAUGUGGGAGCAAAUUAAAAAGAUAGUACCACAAGAGGAAGAGACGGCUAACUCUGUGCCAGCAGCCGCGGUAAUACAGAGGUCUCAAGCGUUGUUCGGAAUCACUGGGCGUAAAGCGUGCGUAGGCGGUUUCGUAAGUCGUGUGUGAAAGGCGGGGGCUCAACCCCCGGACUGCACAUGAUACUGCGAGACUAGAGUGAUGGAGGGGGAACCGGAAUUCUCGGUGUAGCAGUGAAAGGCGUAGAUAUCGAGAGGAACACUCGUGGCGAAGGCGGGUUCCUGGACAUUAACUGACGCUGAGGCACGAAGGCCAGGGGAGCGAAAGGG
rnacentral:rRNA from 1 species